CAUAAGUUUUUAAUAUUUAUUAACGUUAAUCAUGUCUGAUUCAGCCUGUAAAUGCGGAGAUCCUACGUGCACGUGUGGCGAAAAUUGCACGUGCGGCAAAGAAGACGGAUGCAAGUGUACUACGUGCAACAAAAAAGACGAAACUGAGAAAAGUCGGUGUAAGUGUACAGAAGGAGAACCCUGUAGUUGUACGUCAUGCACGUGUAGUAAGAAAGAAUGAAUCACUUGUAUUUGUUGGGCUGGUUCCUGUUCAAUAAUUUUAAUAUUACAUA